AGAAAAAUGGUUAUAAAUGUCAGCAGUUGAAAUUAACCCGCUCUCUCAGCUGCUUCAAACUCCAGUUCUUUUCUCAGGCAGCCACUUUACUUCUUAUCUCUAAACUAAUAAAACAAGACUGAUUUUUUAAUAUCAUCCUUACAGGGGUCUAUCUGCCUCAAGUCUCUCCCUCCUUCAAUCUAUCCAGUCACCAAAGUGAUCGUUCUAAAUAAAACUCAGCUCUGAACAUGUCACUUUUCCUAUGUAAGAGAGAAAAUCAGAUUCAGCAUGAAAAAGAGCAACCCAAAUGGGGGAAGGGCAGGGAAGACAGAGGAUUCCAGGAAGGAAGAUAGAAGAGCUGAGGAGAAACUGCCAGAUCACCUCACUUCUCUUUGGGAGCUCUCCUGGAGUGGUUGGCCUGAGAGAAACCUCUGAGACAGAAGACCUUUCUGAGCAUUGACCACCUCUCAGUGAACCCAAACCCCCUUGGAUCCAGCUGAAGAUAAAGGAGUAGAUGGGACUUUGUUAGAAAGCCAUUCACCCAAAGAAGAAUUCUCUCAUUCCCUAAAACUUGUCCUUUGAACUUCAUGCCAUAACUGGUAGAAUGGAAGCUCCUUGAGGCAGAGGCUGCAGAAAUGCAGGCUGAAGGACAGAUUUGAGACUUGGAUGCUGCUCAUCCUUCCCUGGCCUUAGGGCCCCUGGCUUGCCCCCUACCCUGCCCUCCCGGGUACCUGUGCCUCCUCAGCCCUUACUGCACAUUCCACCUACGGCCUUUGCUUUCCAUCAACUGUGAGCUCUGCUUAGCAAUCAGCGAUAAGAGAAGAAGAAUUGUCUUUCUGAUAAAUCUGACCCUGAAAGGGUGAGGUCCAGGCCAGAAAGAAACAGAAGGCCAAGGAGGAAAGUCUGGGGAGGAGUGGAGAGAAGCUACAGGGGCAAAGAUUAAGGAGAUUCAAGUGGUGUAGCCCCGGCUCUGUGUUUUGUCUGUUUAGGUUUUGGGGAGAAACCCAAUAGAGCAAAGGGGGAGCCCCGCUUUUUCUAAGGUUGGCAAUUUAUUGUAAUUAACUCUUCGGGGGGGACGGUGGCAAAAGAGAUGAAUAAACACUCAAAUUCAGACGGAGUAGCUUGCUUUUAAAGUAUAUUUGGGAAAUCCCUUGGCCAAGAGCAAUCUGACAAUUUUAAUUUAACUUCUCUUCAAAGGUGGGGCUGGGUAAGCCCAGUGCAACACAGGCAAAAUCACUGCUGUACCCCUUUCUGGGAAGGAAGAUGAUGCAGGGUCCUGAAGCAUCCCCCAGAAAUAGCACAGUAUAGGGCCCUAGAAACAAAACAGAUCCUGGAGCUCCAUGACUUUGGGAGUUUCUUAAAACUCUACCAGGGAUGAUUUUGUGAGUUUAUGUAGCAGAGACUCAACCCUUUAACACCUAUCAGUCAUUUCUCUCUUGUGAAGAGUUUUUCAACUACUGAUUAAAAAUGUCUUUAAUCACA